rnacentral:snRNA from 2 species
AGCUUUGCGCAGUGACAUUACCGUAGCUGAUGAGGUCCAUCCGAGGCGCGGUUAUUGCUGAUUGAAAACUUUUCCCAAUACUCCGCGAGACGACUUGAAACAUAGUCGGCUUUGCAAUUUUUGUGGGCCCUACUUAGGG